GUAGGUGGCAAGCGUUGUCCGGGAAUUAUUGGGGCGUAAAGCGCGCGCAGGCGGUUCUUUAAGUCUGAUGUGAAAGCCCACGGGCUCAACCGUGGAGGGUCAUUGGAAACUGGAGAACUUGAGUACAGAAGAGGAAAGCGGAAGUCCACGUGUAGCGGUGAAAUGCGUAGAGAUGUGGAGGAACACCAGUGGCGAAGGCGGCUUUCUGGUCUGUAACUGACGCUGAGGCGCGAAAGCGUGGGGAGCAAACAGGAUUAGAUACCCUGGUAGUCCACGCCGUAAACGAUGAGUGCUAAGUGUUAGGGGGUUUCCGCCCCUUAGUGCUGCAGCUAACGCAUUAAGCACUCCGCCUGGGGAGUACGGCCGCAAAGGCUG
rnacentral:rRNA from 1 species